CCUACGGGUGGCAGCAGUGGGGAAUAUUGGGCAAUGGGCGCAAGCCUGACCCAGCGACGCCGCGUGAAGGACGAAGUCUUUCGGUUUGUAAACUUCUUUUAACAGGGAAGAGCAUAACACUAUACCUGUCACAUCAGCCACGUCUAUCUACGUGCAAGCAUCCGCGGUCAUACGUAGGGGGCAAGCGUUGUCCGGAUUUACUGGGUGUAACGGGCGUGUAGGCGGGCGGACAAGUCAGAUGUGAAAUCCGGGGUCUCAACCCCCGAACUGCAUUUGAAACUGUUGGUCUUGAGUCCAGGAGAGGCAGGCGGAAUUCCUAGUGUAGCGGUGAAAUGCGUAGAUAUUAGGAGGAACACCAGUGGCGAAGGCGGCCUGCUGGACGACAACUGACGGUGAGGCGCGAAAGCGUGGGGAGCAAACAGGAUUAGAUACCCCAGUAGUC
rnacentral:rRNA from 1 species